UACGGAGGGUGCAAGCGUUAUCCGGAUUCACUGGGUUUAAAGGGUGUGUAGGCGGGCUGAUAAGUCAGUGGUGAAAGCCCAUCGCUCAACGGUGGAACGGCCAUUGAUACUGCAAGACUUGAAUUAUUAGGAAGUAACUAGAAUAUGUAGUGUAGCGGUGAAAUGCUUAGAGAUUACAUGGAAUACCAAUUGCGAAGGCAGGUUACUACUAAUUGAUUGACGCUGAUGGACGAAAGCGUGGGGAGCGAACAGG
rnacentral:rRNA from 1 species